rnacentral:rRNA from 1 species
CAGCAGCCGCGGUAAUACGUAGGUGGCAAGCGUUGUCCGGAAUUAUUGGGCGUAAAGGGCUCGCAGGCGGUUUCUUAAGUCUGACGUGAAAGCCCCCGGCUCAACCGGGGAGGGUCAUUGGAAACUGGGAAACUUGAGUGCAGAAGAGGAGAGUGGAAUUCCACGUGUAGCGGUGAAAUGCGUAGAGAUGUGGAGGAACACCAGUGGCGAAGGCGACUCUCUGGUCUGUAACUGACGCUGAGGAGCGAAAGCGUGGGGAGCGAACAGGAUUAGAUACCCCCGUAGUCCCUGUCUCUUAUAC